rnacentral:sRNA from 1 species
AUCACUCUUAAAUAAUAGAGUAUCGCAAUUUGAUUGCGGAAGCCCGAUUUACCGGUCUUUUAGAGCUUAUAGCGAUUUAAAGAAACUGAUAAUUUGAUUUGGUUUCCUGCCAAAAAUCCUGCCAAAAAAUCUUUGGCAGGAUUUUUGUU